CUGGCCGUAAACGAUGGAUACUAGGUGUGGGAGGUUCGACCCCUUCCGUGCCGCAGCUAACGCAUUAAGUAUCCCGCCUGGGGAGUACGGCCGCAAGGUUGAAACUCAAAGGAAUUGACGGGGGCCCGCACAAGCGGUGGAGCAUGUGGUUUAAUUCGAUGCAACGCGAAGAACCUUACCAGGGUUUGACAUGCUGGUGGUAGAAGCCUGAAAGGGUGACGACCUUCGGUUUUCCGAGGGAGCCAGCACAGGUGC
rnacentral:rRNA from 1 species